rnacentral:lncRNA from 1 species
GGGGGCUGGUGGUCCGAGUCCAAGCUGCCGUCACCGACCCGGCCAGUGUGUGGUCAGUCCCUUGGAGGGGCUGGGAGGGGACUCCCCCGUGCCGGCGAGGAUGAUGUUGGCGACGCUGCCGCGUGUGUGGCAGGCUCCGUGGCUGCCUGGGAGGCCACAGCCUGAGUGAUGGGUGACAGCUGGGAGAGGGUGGGUGACACCUGCCGGGCCUGCUGCCUCCUCGCCUCGUGCUCGGGGACAACGGGCUGACACCAGCGGGCGGUGCUGCGGCGAGGAGCCUGGUGUGCUCAAGCCCUGGCUGGUGCGCGGAUGCCCAGGUCAUUGAAGAUUGACAUCACCUGAAUUGUGAAGUCAAUCUUUGCGACAGAGGAAGAAAACUUGGCAGCUGCACAGAAGGAAAAGUGGGGCAAAUGGACAGAAGAAUGUGGGGUGGCUGGGUCAUGUCCCUGCCUCCUUCCAAUUUUCAAGUGAAAGCCCCAAGGACAGACAAAAGUGGAGGGAAGACUAUAGAGUGUUGGCGGAAGCCUUUGGUUCUGGCUUGUGAUUCUUGGAAAUGCUCUGACAUCUCCUUGUUCAUCAGUUCCACAAAAUUUCCAUCAGCCGUUUUGUUCUGCCCCUGCUUCCAAGCCCGUCUGCCUCUGGCCCAUCUGAGAUGGGGAAUUUGUCUCCAUGAUCUCAGGGACUGAUCCAUCCAGUGAUAAUUUAUUCUCCCCUCCCGGCUUGUUUGGAUUCUCCGCGGCUGCUCUGCCUGACCAGCGCAGCACGAGGAGCCCCUCUGCAACCAGGCAGCGCUCAGUUCACAAAGGCACAUGACAAGAGCAUGAGAGGGCAGGGAGGGGGGUAAACUGGGUGCUGCCCUGCACUUUGGGGAGCCCCAGCUCCCGAGGCUCUGGGGAGGGGAGCCAGCUGAGUGAAGAGCAGGAAGGCGGUGUUGCUUCCCUGGAGAGGAGGCUUGGCGGCUCCGACGUGCCAGCCCAGGCCUUGACACGCUGCACUGUCACCUUGGCAAAGCUGAGGACUACCUUAGCCUGUCACCCCAUCUCUGCACAUCUCCGCUCUGUCCCCAGUCUUAGUGAGUAGGAGGGUGGGGGGACGGCUUGGCUCCUCAUUGGCGCAGCUCCAGGCCUGGAGGUCUCUGGAAUUUGGUACAAUGUGAGGUAAAGGUCAUUUGAUGAGUUGAUACAAAAGCUUUUCAGCCCAGGAACUAACUGUUGUGGCCUCAACUUAAACAAAUGCUGCGAGGCAAUGUUUUUGGUUCUGUCCAAACUCUGAGGGAGCCACGGGUGGGGCAUGCUCACUGCACAGUGCUCCGGCCUUCAGGGCACACGAGCCUGCUCGGCUUGGUGGCUUGGUACCGCACCUCCUUCCAGAGCAGGGAUGGGACUGCUUUCACUGUGGAAAGAGGCCGCUUUGAGGUCAUAAUUGUUCUAAUAUUUACUUUCUCUAAAGCAUAGAGGAGGCCAAUUUCAGGAGCCACCAAAGGGUGCUCACUCAAACUUUUUUUUUUUUUUUUUUUUUUUUUAAGAUUUUAUUCAUUUGAGAGAGAAAAUGAGCAGGGUGGGGAGGGAGAGAGGGAGAGGGAAACACAGGCUCCCCACUGAGCAGGAUUCUCCGCUGCUCAUCCCAGGGCCCCAAGAUCAUGAUCUGAGCUCAAGACAGCCACUUAACUGAGUGAACCACCCAAACGCCCUUCAAAAUGUUCUUGGGAACUGGUCAGAUAGGUUCCCCAGGGCUACCCUUGCUCCUGCAGCAUUACGUGACUUAUCUCACUUGUCUGUACAACAAGAGCCCAAAAAGUCCUCUGGGCAGCUGAACAGAAGGCACUAGUGUUUCCUGCCUUCCUAAUAAAGUACCUAACAUGCUGGGAAACA